rnacentral:lncRNA from 1 species
UUGUUCUAUCAUGCCUAGAGAGUGUAAAUUUGGAACGAAUCGAUGUCAACGUUCACAAGAACAAAAACCGGAACAACAUUAGACAACUCAGUUGCGCCCUAACAGUAUAACUUUGAAACGAGUACUUUUUCUCAUUCUAUCAAACAAAAGGUAAAACCUAAUUAUAUAGUUCAAUUAUGUCCCGAGAGUGUAAAUUUGGAAUGAAUCGAUGUCAACGUUCACAAGAACCAAAACCGGAACAAAAUUAGACAACUCAGUUGUGCCCGAACAGUAUAACUUUGAAACGAGUACUUUUUCUCAUUCUAUCGAACAAAGAGUAAAACCUAAUUAUUUUGUUCUAUUAUGCUCCGAGAGUGUAAAUUUGGAAUGAAUCGAUGUCAACGUUCACAAGAACCAAAACCAGAACAACAUUUGAAUACUCAGUUGCGCCCUAAUAGUAUAACUUUGCAACGAGUACUUUUUCUCAUUCUAUCGAACAAAGAGUAAACCUAAUUAUAUUCUUCUAUUAUGCCCAGAGAGUGUAAAUUUGGAACGAAUCUAUGUCAACGUUCACAAGAACCAAAACCGGAACAACAUUAGGCUAAUCAGUUAGGCCCCAACAGUAUAACUUUGAAACGAGUACUUUUUCUCAUUCUAUUGAACAAAGUGUAAAACCUAAUUAUAUUGUUCUAUCAUGCCCAGAGAGUGUAAAUUUGGAACGAAUCGAUGUCAACGUUCACAAAACAAAAACCGUAACAACAUUAGACUACUCAGUUGCGCCCUAGCAGUAUAACUUUGAAACGAGUACUUUUUCUAAUUCUAUCGAACAAAGAGUAAAACCUAAUUAUAUAGUUCCAUUAUGCUCCGAGAGUGUAAAUUUGGAAUGAAUCGAUGUCAACGUUCACAAGAACCAAAACCGGAACAACAUUACAAUACUUAGUUGCACCCUAAUAGUAUAACAUUGCAACGAGUACUUUUUCUCAUUCUAUCGAACAAAGAGUAAAACCUAAUUAUAUUCUACUAUUAUGCCCAGAGAGUGUAAAUUUGGAACGAAUCUAUGUCAACGUUCACAAAAACCAAAACCGGAACAACAUUAGACUACUCAGUUGCGCCCUAACAGUAUAACUUUGCAACUAGUACUUUUUCUCAUUCUAUCGAACAAAGAGUAAAACCUAAUUAUAUUGUUCUAUCAUGCCUAGAGAGUGUAAUUUUGGAACGAAUCGAUGUCAACGUUCACAAGAACAAAAACCGGAACAACAUUAGACAACUCAGUUGCGCCCUAACAGUAUAACUUUGAAACGAGUACUUUUUCUCAUUCUAUCGAACAAAGNNNNNNNNNNNNNNNNNNNNNNNNNGAGUUGAACUUGAGGCAGCGCAGAUGGUUGGAGCUACUCAAGGAUUAUGACUUGACUAUUCUUUACCACCCGGGCAAGGCUAACGUGGUGGCGGAUGCGCUAAGUCGGAAAUCGACGCAGAACUUAGCGAUGCUUGUGGUUACUCAACCGCCGUUGAUCGAGCAGAUGAAGCGGUUGGAGUUGGAGGUGGUGGCUCCUGACACACCUUUGAGGCUGAUGACUUUGGUGGUGCAACCUAUCCUUUUGGAAAGGAUUAAAGAAAAGCAAGCUUCCGACUUGGAUUUGCAAAAGAUUCG